CCUACGGGUGGCAGCAGUGAGGAAUAUUGGUCAAUGGACGAGAGUCUGAACCAGCCACGCAGCGUGAAGGAUGAAUGCUCUAUGGGUUGUAACCUUUUUUUAUAUGGGAAUAAAAUGUUCCACGUGUGGGAUUUUGUACGUACCAUAUGAAUAAGGAUCGGCUAACUCCGUGCCAGCAGCCGCGGUAAUACGGAGGAUCCGAGCGUUAUCCGGAUUUAUUGGGUUUAAAGGGAGCGUAGGUGGAUUGUUAAGUCAGUUGUGAAAGUUUGCGGCUCAACCGUAAAAUUGCAGUUGAAACUGGCAGUCUUGAGUACAGUAGAGGUGGGCGGAAUUCGUGGUGUAGCGGUGAAAUGCUUAGAUAUCACGAAGAACUCCGAUUGCGAAGGCAGUUCACUGGACUGCAACUGACACUGAGGCUCGAAAGUGUGGGUAGCAAACAGGAUUAGAUACCCCUGUAGUC
rnacentral:rRNA from 1 species